UCUAGUAACAGCCCACGCCUUCGUAAUAAUUUUCUUUAUGGUUAUACCUAUCAUAAUUGGGGGAUUUGGAAACUGACUAGUUCCCUUGAUAAUUGGAGCCCCUGACAUAGCAUUCCCUCGUCUAAACAACAUAAGCUUCUGACUACUUCCCCCUUCCUUUCUACUACUGAUAGCAUCUUCAAUAAUUGAAGCUGGCGCAGGUACAGGCUGAACUGUAUAUCCUCCUCUAGCCGGAAAUCUAGCACACGCAGGAGCCUCAGUAGACCUUACUAUUUUCUCUCUGCAUUUAGCCGGUGUAUCUUCAAUCCUUGGGGCUAUUAACUUCAUUACAACUAUCAUUAAUAUAAAACCACCCGCUAUAACCCAAUACCAAACACCUCUCUUCGUCUGACUGGCAACACUUCACGGAGGAAGUAUUAAAUGAUCUCCCGCCCUAAUAUGAGCUUUAGGCUUUAUUUUCUUAUUCACAGUAGGAGGUUUAACUGGUAUUAUCCUGGCUAACUCAUCCCUAGACAUUAUUCUCCAUGACACCUAUUAUGUAGUUGCCCAUUUUCACUAUGUACUUUCAAUAGGAGCUGUUUUCGCCAUCAUAGGGGGUUUCGUCCACUGAUUUCCACUAUUUUCAGGCUAUACACUUAACCCAACAUGAACAAAAAUCCAAUUCAUAAUUAUAUUCGUAGGUGUAAAUAUGACAUUCUUUCCACAGCACUUCCUAGGCCUAUCUGGAAUACCUCGUCGAUACUCCGACUAUCCAGAUGCCUACACAACACGAAAUACCAUCUCAUCAAUAGGCUCCUUCAUCUCACUGACAGCAGUCAUACUGAUAAUCUUCAUUAUCUGAGAAGCAUUCGCAUCUAAACGGGAAGUAUUAGCAGUAGACCCCACCUCCACAAACCUUGAAUGACUAAACGGAUGUCCUCCACCAUAUCACACAUUUGAGGAACCAGUAUAUGUUAACCUAAAAUAUUCAAGAAAGGAAGGAAUCGAACCCCCUCUAAUCGGUUUCAAGCCAACAUCAUAACCAUUAUACUUAAACAUAAAAAAUUCAUGAAAGGAAGGAAG